UCUUCCGCAAUGGACGAAAGUCUGACGGAGCAACGCCGCGUGAGUGAUGAAGGUUUUCGGAUCGUAAAACACUGUUGUUAGGGAAGAACAAGUACAGUUCGAAUAGGGCGGCAGCUUGACGGUACCUAACCAGAAAGUCACGGCUAACUACGUGCCAGCAGCCGCGGUAAUACGUAGGUGGCAAGCGUUGUCCGGAAUUAUUGGGCGUAAAGCGCGCGCAGGCUGUUUCUUAAGUCUGAUGCGAAAGCCCCCGGCUCAACCGGGGAGGGUCAUUGGAAACUGGGGAACUUGAGUGCAGAAGAGGAGAGUGGAAUUCCACGUGUAACGGUGAAAUGCGUAGAGAUGUGGAGGAACACCAGUGGCGAAGGCGACUCUCUGGUCUGUAACUGACGCUGAGGCGCGAAAGCGUGGGGAGCGAACAG
rnacentral:rRNA from 1 species